rnacentral:rRNA from 1 species
AACGCUAGCUACAGGCUUAACACAUGCAAGUCGAGGGGAAACGAUAGAGAAAGCUUGCUUUUUCUAGGCGUCGACCGGCGCACGGGUGAGUAACGCGUAUCCAACCUGCCCAUCACUUGGGGAUAACCUUGCGAAAGUAAGACUAAUACCCAAUGAUAUCCCUAUAAGACAUCUGAAAGGGAUUAAAGAUUUAUCGGUGAUGGAUGGGGAUGCGUCUGAUUAGCUUGUUGGCGGGGUAACGGCCCACCAAGGCAACGAUCAGUAGGGGUUCUGAGAGGAAGGUCCCCCACAUUGGAACUGAGACACGGUCCAAACUCCUACGGGAGGCAGCAGUGAGGAAUAUUGGUCAAUGGGCGAGAGCCUGAACCAGCCAAGUAGCGUGCAGGAUGACGGCCCUAUGGGUUGUAAACUGCUUUUAUAAGGGAAUAAAGUGGGUCACGUGUGACUUUUUGCAUGUACCUUAUGAAUAAGGACCGGCUAAUUCCGUGCCAGCAGCCGCGGUAAUACGGAAGGUCCGGGCGUUAUCCGGAUUUAUUGGGUUUAAAGGGAGCGUAGGCUGGAGAUUAAGCGUGUUGUGAAAUGCCGCGGCUCAACGUCUGCACUGCAGCGCGAACUGGUUUCCUUGAGUACGCACAAAGUGGGCGGAAUUCGUGGUGUAGCGGUGAAAUGCUUAGAUAUCACGAAGAACUCCGAUUG